GUGGAGGUUAGAGAUAGUGUCCUGUCUGUUGUUAGUGAUGAGGUGGAGGUUAGAGAUAGUGUCCUGUCUGUUGUUAGUGAUGAGGUGGAGGUUAGAGAUAGUGUCUUGUCUGUUGUUAGUGAUGAGGUGGAGGUUAGAGAUAGUGUCUUGUCUGUUGUUAGUGAUGAGGUGGAGGUUAGAGAUAGUGUCCUGUCUGUUGUUAGUGAUGAGGUGGAGGUUAGAGAUAGUGUCUUGUCUGUUGUUAGUGAUGAGGUGGAGGUUAGAGAUAGUGUCCUGUCUGUUGUUAGUGAUGAGGUGGAGGUUAGAGAUAGUGUCCUGUCUGUUGUUAGUGAUGAGGUGGAGCUGAGGGAGUGUCCUGUCUGUUGUUAGUGAUGAUGUGGAGGUUAGAGAUAGUGUCCUGUCUGUUGUUAGUGAUGAGGUGGAGGUUAGAGGCAGUGUCCUGUCUGUUGUUAGUGAUGAGUUGGAGGUUAGAGGCAGUGUCUUGUCUGUUGUUAGUGAUGAGGUGGAGGUUAGAGGCAGUGUCCUGUCUGUUGUUAGUGAUGAGGUGGAGGUUAGAGGCAGUGUCCUGUCUGUUGUUAGUGAUGAGUUGGAGGUUAGAGGCUGUGUCCUGUCUGUUGUUAGUGAUGAGGUGGAGGUUAGAGGCAGUGUCCUGUCUGUUGUUAGUGAUGAGGUGGAGGUUAGAGGCAGUGUUCUGUCUGUUGAUAGUGAUGAGGUGGAGGUCUUAGAAAGUGCCCCCGUUUCCCCUUCUGUCCCCCUUCUGCCCCUCUUCUGCCCCCUUCUGCCCCCUUCUGUCCCCCUUCUGCCCCCUUUCUGUCCCCCUGGGGUAAAUCCCAGCAGGCUGCCUCCAAUCAAAACACAUAAACAACACAUUUCCUCCCUUCCCCCUGCCUCCUUAUCCUACAGGCAGGGGUGAGGGGGAGCUGGCUGGCUGAUUUGCUGGCUGGCUGGUGAAUGAAAAACACAUCUGAACCUCAAACACAGCAGACCCAGGAGACAGAGGUUAUCAGCCAG
ensembl:lncRNA